rnacentral:tRNA from 3 species
UGCGAGGUAGUGUAACGGUAACACAGUAGCCUCAUGAGCUACUAUACGAGGUUCGACUCCUUGCUUCGCUU